GUAAAUCUCACCAGAAGGUGACAGUUGCCAAGGUGACAGCUUCUCAUGAGUAUUUCACACUUCUAUGAAAUAUCCACAGAGGCGUGUAAUGGAGAGUCUCCUCUGGGGGCAGGCAAGAUGUCAGCCAACCCUCAUCCUAGCCCUUCCCUCCCCUCACCACCCUCAACCUUUCUUGAAGGUCACACUAGGCUGGUUCUCUCCCAGCCCCCAAGAAACUCCCUGCCACUGCCUGGCCCCACCUUGAAGCUGCCCGGUGGCCCUGGCAGAUGAAUUGCAUCUCCUGGGGCCGCACCCGGCAUGUGGUCAUCCUGCCUCUGCCUGCGGCAGGGCCUGGAGCCCGGACAUGCCUGGCAGGCUUCCAGGGCUUCUUUGGUAGGACGCCCCGCCACUCCCUCUGGGCCCCUCUAUUCUGGGAGCUGUAAUUUAGACAGCCUUCUCCGCCCCAAUUGCUAUCUGUGACAGCAGUCCCUGUUCCCCAGGGCCCUGCCCACCCCUCCUUGCCUGCCUUUUCAUAAACAGCUCCCGGGCUGCCCUGUUAUCUUGGGCACUGUGGCUCUGGGGAGGAGGCCCUGCCACCCUGAAGAUACAACGAAUCCCUCCAUCCCAGGGAGAAGCUGACCCAAUGCAGACAGAGGUGGGAUAAAGCCCUCACCCACCAAAGCCCAAUAUAGCAGCCCUCAGAACCUGACCCUGAAGUCUGCUGGAUGGGGUGGGGUGCAGAGAAGAGGAUAGGCUGUCAUUAUUCCCCCAACACCCUGGGGACUGGGUCAGCCGGGGCUAUGGUCUCCCUAAAGGCCCCUGCCUCAGCCAUGCAUGUUCAGCCACAGGCCACAAAAUGUGUGUGUGUGUCUGUGUGUUGAGGGUAUCAAUAAUAGCAACAAAAGUGAUGUUUCUAAAAUGCAAAUGUGCCGAUGUUUCUAAAAUGCAAAUAUGCCAAUGUUUCUAAAAUGCAAAUGUGCCUGGGGAGGCUAAGGGGAGAGCAUCUCUUGGGACCAGGAGUUCAAGACCAGCCUGGGCAACAUAGCAAGACUCCAUCUCUACAAAAAAAAAUUAAAAAUUAGCUGGGUAUGGUGACCAAUUAGACCUAGCUACUUGGGAGGCUGAGGUGAGAAGACUGCUUGAGCCAGGGAGGUCAAGGCUGCAGUGAGCUGAGAUCAUGCCACCGCACUCCAACUUGGGCAACAGAGCCAGACCCUGUCUCCAAAAUAAAAUAAAAUAAAACAUAGGCCAGGUGCGGUGGCUCACACCUGUAAUCCUAGCACUUUGGGAGGCCGAGGUGGGUGGAUCACUUGAGGUCAGGAGUUCAAGAGCAGCCUGGGCAAUGUGGUGAAAUCCCAUCUCUACUAAAAAUACAAACAAAUUAGCCUGGCGUGGUGGCAGGCACCUGUAAUCUCAGCUACUUGGGAGGCUGAGGCAGGAGGAUCACUUGAACCCAGGAGGCGGAGGCUGCAGUGAGCUGAGAUCCUGCUUCUACUGCACUCCAGCUUGGGUGACAGAGGGAGACUCCGACUCAAAAAAAUCAAAAUCAAAAUAAAAUAAAAUGCAAAUGAGAUUGUGUCACUCCCUGACUCCAAACCUUCAGUGUUUCCCCACAGCCCUUACAGAUGAAGCUCAAAAGACCCUCCAAGCUCUGCCUUUUCUACCACUUCUCUCACCUCAGUGCCUUGGCACGAGCUUCCCCGGCCCCUGCCUGGACAUCGUUCUCCUCUUCACCUAACUCCUGUUCAUCCUGCAGGUCUCAGCUUAUAAGUUAUUGCUCAUGGAACCCUCCUGUGACAUCACAGACACUCCCUCCCUGGUCCUCCCUUUGGACUGGGAUGGGUGUCCCUCCUGAGUUCACCAGAAGCACCACGCCCUUGUCUGUGCACUGGUCUACUUGCUGCCAGCUAUAAGUGCUCCCAGGGCCGAAGCUUCCUCUUAUCGUUAUUUUUUAGUCGCUAGCCUGGUCCUGGCACACAGUAGGUUUUCCAAAUAUAUUUGUUGGAAGAAUGUGCAAAUGAAUACAUGAAUGACUCCUCUGGCCCUCCAGGAUGUAUGGGUGUCUUGAGAGGUAUUUGACUACUUUGUGCCUUCCAUUUUCUUUUUUGUUUGUUUGUUUUUUGAGGCAGAGUCUCCCUCUGUCACUCAGGCUGGAGUAUAG
rnacentral:lncRNA from 10 species